AACAAGUAACCAUGCAAUCGAUCACCAACGGCGAGAUUAGCGGAGGAAUAAAAGCAAGGACAAAGGAAAUAAUGCGCCACAAUUUAUAUGAUUCGAUCGGAGAAUCCACUCCAAGCAAAGGAGAUUACAAGCUCAGAUCAAAUGCUUCCUCAAGCCUAAGUCCCCCGGAUUAUAUACAAUCAAUCGUCACCAAGCUUUUCCACCUUCAAGAGGAGGAACUUGUCUCACCAGGUUCCUUCCCGGACCUAUCCACUUUUCGGGACUUCGAUCGUCACUCAAUUCACUGGUUGAAACUCGAGAAUACCUGACGCGAUGAGUCCCGGGCCGGCACAUCACCGCAUGGCGGUGGGGGGUGCGGCGGAGCUGAUGAAAUUGCAUAAUGUGAGACGCGGCUAUGGCAAACCAUGGGCUCCCCGGCAGAUCAGGUAUCAACCCAAGAACAUUAUUUAGCUUCAACUUGGGCUUCGGGGGCGGGGAUGGAAAAUGGGCCUUCAAAGAUAUUCUGGCCCAUAGAGAUAUCCGUGAUUGGAAACGGAGCCCAUAAAUUCAGGCCCGUGAUCUCUCUCCGGCCCUUUUGGUCGGGCCCUCCUUCAGUUUGUCAUUUGCUUCGUGACCCCUGGCAACUCCAGCCCUUGUCAUGUUAUAGAGUCAAACUCGUAUUCCUUUCCAUGUAGCGUAUGGGUGAUAUCCGAA
rnacentral:lncRNA from 1 species